UAAGUUUACAUUCUUCCUCUCUUCUAAUUAUUCGACUGAAGCUCAGCCUUGAGGAGGUGAGGUUCCCCUUUUGUAAUUUUUCCUUGUCUACUCUUGCUCCAUUCGACUCGAUGAUGACUACCGAUUGCUUGUAGAUUAGAGCCUAAGUUAAUUCAAUCCCUAUCACCCUUGAUCCAGCCGUGGACCAUCACCAAGGAGCUGAGAACCUAAUCCUUGAAGAGUGGAUAGCCAUCCUUGCAUCCAAUCAGAACCGUGCCCUUAGGAGAGUGGAAGAGUAAGGAAUAAAGCACAAAUCAAACUUCAUGUUUCUGUUUUCUUUUGUUUGGCCACUGUAUGUAGCCUAAGAGGAUGCAAUUGUGCCAUUCCUCACCCCUUGCUCCUGCACUUUGGAACCGUUGGGAUUCUAGUUCAUGUAAGCUGAAGAUGACCUUGGUGCACGUAACUCUUUUUGAGUGAGCUGAAUUUUGGUGCUGUUGAUUAUUGCUUGGACACAAGGAGGACGAAAGAGCAAAUGAAGACAUGGUUAUUUUGGAUAUUGGCUGUUAAUUUCUGCUGUUGGAUUUCUGCUGUUAACUGUUUGCCUGUUGGAUGACUGUAUUAUUGGAAUAUUUUGGGGAAGUUUGGAUUACUGUUGGAAGCAUUUUUAGGCUACUGUUUUAAGAUUUUUAUGAUC